rnacentral:lncRNA from 1 species
GGACGGGCCACGUUGGCGAUCCGCGUAUGCGCGAUCGGACGGUCCAGAUCAAGUGUGCUAUCGGACGGCCCAUAUUCAAUCAAAAACGGACGGCCAUAUUAAAUCAAAAUGGACGGCUGAGAUCAAAAGGCAAAAGGGUAUAAAUAAGACUCCCACACCAGACCACAAAACCCUAGCCGCCUGCCAUCGCCGGAGAAGACGAACCAGAAGCCGGCCGCCGCCACCCGCCGCCGCACCGGAGAGAUUUUCGAUCGCCGAUCGAGGUAAAUUUCAUACCCCGACUCGUUUUUCCACGCUAAUUUUUCCUGU